GACGAACGCUGGCGGCGUGCCUAAUACAUGCAAGUUGAGCGCUGAAGGUUGGUACUUGUACCAACUGGAUGAGCAGCGAACGGGUGAGUAACGCGUGGGGAAUCUGCCUUUGAGCGGGGGACAACAUUUGGAAACGAAUGCUAAUACCGCAUAAAAACUUUAAACACAAGUUUUAAGUUUGAAAGAUGCAAUUGCAUCACUCAAAGAUGAUCCCGCGUUGUAUUAGCUAGUUGGUGAGGUAAAGGCUCACCAAGGCGAUGAUACAUAGCCGACCUGAGAGGGCGAUCGGCCACAUUGGGACUGAGACACGGCCCAAACUCCUACGGGAGGCAGCAGUAGGGAAUCUUCGGCAAUGGACGAAAGUCUGACCGAGCAACGCCGCGCGAGUGAAGAAGGUUUUCGGAUCGUAAAACUCUGUUGGUAGAGAAGAACGUUGGUGAGAGUGGAAAGCUCAUCAAGUGACGGUAACUACCCAGAAAGGGACGGCUAACUACGUG
rnacentral:rRNA from 1 species